GGAGGCGGGGCCUCCGAGAGAAAGUUUCCACCGAAACUUGAACUGGGACGCAGUGGAGGACAUCUCGUCCUUGGGGGCUCGCCUCCCCGCGAGCUUCACCUCCCGUCCCGCGCCACGCCGGACGAGCAGGCACGCACAGCUGCCUUCUAGGCUCCUGUGAGGAAAGGAAGCCGCACACCGCGACGCGCGGACGUCGUCGGUUUCCCACUUCCAGAAGGUGCCAGUGCGGAGCCUGACACUCCCGCCCCACUCAGAUGAUCAAGUGGCCAGGCACGACUUCACUAGUUGUAUAAGGCUUCCUGCAGAAGGUGUGGCCCAGAUUAAAGGUGUGCCUUCCAGUCUCGAGAUCUGGAUCCAAAGCCUUGUGUCUUCAUGCCUCAAGAUCCAGAUCACAGGCAAAGCCACAGCACUGUGCCAUACAGGAAGCUUUUCCACGGUGAAGGUUUCCAUUCACCGCUGUCUUCAGGGUUGUCCCAGAAAGAGGCUGUGACAUCGUCGUCGUCGUGACUGACAGUUCUGAGUGGUGCCUGAUCAGUGUAGAGCCAGCAUUAAAGCAGCCCUCUGACCACAGAGCAUGCCUCAUGAGGCCAUGGGUGUUUGGGUGCAGAAAGCACCACAGUCAGUAUUGACCAGAGUCUCCCAGAGGAACAAACUGUUGGAAUACACAUAUAUGGAUUUAUAUGUCCAUAUAUAAAUAGGAGGUGAAGACCUCUUCUGGCACGCUCUCCUGCCAGCAUGUUCUUCCCAAAGGGCAUGGGGCCAAGUGGCCAUGGACUGACCCUGAACUGGAGACAACCUGGUAUGCCUCCUGAUAGCAUGAAUGAUGACGUACACAGCAUUUCCCAGCGCAUACGGCUGCCAAAAGGAUUGUGACCUGAAUCUAUUCUUGCCUAUGGCUUAACCUCCUGUGUCCAGGAAAUACAUCUGGUGUAGAACAGA